CAGUUAAAUUUGAAUUUCAGAUACACAACUCAUAAUCUUUGAGUAUAAUUAUGUCCCAUGCAAUAUUUGGGACAUACUUAUACUAAAAUUAUUUGUUGUUUAUCUAAAAUUCAGAUUAACU
rnacentral:miRNA from 1 species